AGCACGGUGGCCGAGUGGUUAAGGCGUCUGGACUUAAGAUCCAAUGGACCGUAUGUCCGCGUGGGUUCGAACCCCACCCGUGCUA
rnacentral:tRNA from 1 species